UACGGAGGGAGCUAGCGUUGUUCGGAAUUACUGGGCGUAAAGCGUGCGCAGGCGGUUUGCUAAGAGAGAUGUGAAAUCCCCGGGCUUAACCUGGGAACUGCGUUUCUAACUGGCAGGCUUGAGUGUGGCAGAGGGGGGUGGAAUUCCACGUGUAGCAGUGAAAUGCGUAGAGAUGUGGAGGAACACCGAUGGCGAAGGCAGCCCCCUGGGCUAACACUGACGCUCAUGCACGAAAGCGUGGGGAGCAAACAGG
rnacentral:rRNA from 1 species